rfam:Monodelphis domestica chromosome X, whole genome shotgun sequence.
GCUUUCUGAGCACCUGGUGUAGAUACAGAGAAAGCAGCUUUCUUCCGAGAGA